GGCUGAGAUCAUACCAUCGCUAAUGCGCCGGAUCCCAUCAGAACUCCGCAGCUAAGCGUGUUUGGGCGAGAGCAGUACUGGGAUGGGUGACCUCUUGGGAAGUCCAGGUGUUGCACCCC